rnacentral:tRNA from 1 species
GCCCGAGUGUCGGAACUGGCAGACGAGGCGGUCUCAAAAACCGUUGGCUUUCCAGCCGUGUGAGUUCGAGUCUCACCUCGGGCACCA